rnacentral:rRNA from 1 species
AUUGAACGCUUGCGGCAGGCCUAACACAUGCAAGUCGGACGAGCGGCGGACGGGUGAGUAAUGUAUGGGACACUGCCUGAUGGAGGGGGAUAACUACUGGAAACGGUAUCUAAUACCGCAUCCCAUCAGAUGACCCCAUAUGGGAUUAGCUAGUAGGUGAGGUAACGGCUCACCUAGGCGACGAUCCCUAGCUGGUCUGAGAGGAUUAUCAGCCACACUGGGAAUGAGACACGGGCCAGACUCCUACGGGAGGCAGCAGUGGGGAAUAUUGCACAAUGGGCGCAAGCCUGAUGCAGCCAUGCCGCGUGUAUGAAGAAGGCCUUCGGGUUGUAAAGUACUUUCAGUCGGGAGGCGUUACCGACAGAAGAAGCACCGGCUAACUCCGUGCCAGCAGCCGCGGUAAUAC